GGAAGACGGCAAAGAUAAGCAUGAAGCCUCAAUGAAGGAAAGUCCUUCGCUAGCUUGGUGUGCGGGUUCUCUCCCCAUCGCUGGGUCCAGAUGUGUAUAUUUUUGUGCAUCUUUUGUGUUGCAGAUCCGAAGUACCAUUCGAGAGAGAAAAGUUUGGAUCGGUGUUGGCCUGCAUGUCCCUUGUGCUAGGUGUGUUUGUGUUGGGUUGUAUGUCCUUUGUAUGAGGUGUGAAUUUUCACUUUGAGGGGAAAAUGUUUCUGCUAUUGUGAAAGGAGGAAUAUAUCCCUAGGAUUAUAAAUGUAGACUAGAUUAUUAUGGUUGACCCUUCUGACUAUAAGA
rnacentral:misc_RNA from 1 species